CCUUUUCACCCACGAAGUUGUGGAUCUGGCUUUCUCCUUUGUGCCUUCCACAAAUGGCGCUCAAGCACAGGGCACAACUAGAAGGUCUCUGAAAUUCAGAGAACUCGCCUGCUCCCCUUGAAGAAAAACUGCAACAAGACUGUGAACUCCAACACUCGCCACAGCUGAAUAGCAAAUCAGAUCAGAACACCUAACUCGGAGAGAAAAAAGAACAAUAUCACAACGAAGAAAAUAACAACUGAAGAAAAUAAGGACUGCCUACAAAUUUCUGCAACAACUAGAACAAGUUACGUAACUGAAAACAACCAUUUAACCUUAAGAAUGACUGUGUUCUCAUGCAUUUUAAUGCAUAUUUCUUAUAUAAUUUUAUAUAUUGUUUUAAUAUUUUGAUAAUUGAUUACCUGAUUUAUACUGAAAUGUUACUGUUAACACCUUUAUUAAGUUUAUUAUUCAAGUUUCUACAGCAAUUGAAACAAACAACAUACAAAAAAUACAAGAAGUAAGAAACACAAAAGAAACAGGUCAUGCACAUCAAAAUCCCUUGUAAGAAGUCUGACGGAAAACGUAGUCCACGGAACUGAAAGUGGCAUUUAAUCUGACUUUUACAAGGUUUAACAUUAAUGUAGUAGUUGAUAAUGUAUACCUUGUCAGUAAAAAGAAAAAAGGGGGAAUAGAGGUAAUAAAGAUAAAU